rnacentral:rRNA from 1 species
GUAGGUGGCGAGCGUUGUCCGGAUUUACUGGGCGUAAAGAGCGCGCAGGCGGUCGGCCAAGUCGAGUGUGAAAGCCCCCGGCUCAACUGGGGAGGGUCACUUGAUACUGGUCGACUCGAAGGCGGGAGAGGGAAGUGGAAUUCCCGGUGUAGUGGUGAAAUGCGUAGAUAUCGGGAGGAACACCAGUGGCGAAGGCGACUUCCUGGCCCGUUCUUGACGCUGAGGCGCGAAAGCUAGGGGAGCAAACGGGAUUAGAUACCCCGGUAGUCCUAGCCGUAAACGAUGGACACUAGGUGUUGGUGGUAUCAACCCCGCCAGUGCCGAAGCUAACGCAUUAAGUGUCCCGCCUGGGGAGUACGGCCGCAAGGCUA